rnacentral:rRNA from 1 species
UACGUAGGGGGCUAUCGUUGUCCGGAAUCAUUGGGCGUAAAGAGCGUGUAGGCGGUCCGGUAAGUCCGCUGUGAAAGUCGGGGGCUCAACCCUCGAAUGCCGGUGGAUACUGUCGGGCUAGGGUGCGGAAGAGGCGAGUGGAAUUCCUGGUGUAGCGGUGAAAUGCGCAGAUAUCAGGAGGAACACCUAUUGCGAAGGCAGCUCGCUGGGACGUUACUGACGCUUAGACGCGAAAGCGUGGGGAGCAAACAGG